AAACAAUGAAUGCAAGAAUUUGAGGAUCUCCUUACUCCUCCCUUUUACAGAUGGUCUCUCAGUCCCUUCUUCUUCCUCUUCAUCUUCUUCAUCCUCUUCUGAACACGCUGCCGGGUACCACAGCUUUCUUUGUCUUUAUCAUGAGAUGAAGGUGAUGCUUCUGUUUCUUCUACCAUAACUGAAGAAAUUUCGCUGCAAGUCUCUUGACUGGCUGUUUCUCCGACUUCGCCUUUUUGUCAAACCUGAGUCUUUUUACCUCAUACCCCUCAGCUUCCACAGCAUCUUCAUCUGGAUGUUUAUUUCUCAAAGGGCUCACUGAGGAAACUUCUGAUUCAGAUGUCGAAGAGUCACUGUGAGUUUUCUCUUCAUUUUGCUGCAAAUUUGCCUCUUUGCUGUCUGUGCUCUCAGGCCACCCAUUUGUUGUCAUGGGGCUGACAGAGAAACCUUUGGUCGAUUACGUGGCCUGGGUGUCCCAGGCCCAUUUAUAUUAGACCUCUCAGUAUAGCUUGGUGCAUUUCCAGGAAACAUCACACCAUUCAUUCGAUUUAAACUAUUGGAAUUGUUUUUCUCUGAAGAAGGAUAAACACAGCUAACAACCAUCACGUUCUUUUCUACUCCUCUGAGAAAUUUGUCUGUUCCUGUAUAGUUUCUCCUUGGAUCUGUUAACAAUUCACAUAAUCGCUGAAUAGUAAAAGGGAUACGGUUAAAUCCAGUGACAGUUUUCAGUAUUCUUCCCUUUGUUUCAUCAAAGGGAAUAUAUUCGACUUUAGGGUUGGGAGGACCUCUUGGCGCAGGAGCUGAAGUUCUGAAAUCAUCCAUCACUUUCUCCAGUUUGAAAAUAAAAUAGCCUUUAAAUUGGGACCACUGAAUCUGUUUCUCCAGUCUUGGCUACAUGACAAAAGGAACUGAUCCAGGACAGGACAGACUUUCUUUUUUGCCUCUUCUCAAAAUCUUCCAGCGCCUCCUGGAGCCUGUCGACGUCCAUGGCUUCCCGGAGUCCCUCACAGCCUCCGCCUCCCUCCGCGGGUCUCUUGGGGACCGGAACGCCUCCCCCCACCCCCCGACGUCCUCCCACUCCCUCGCACACCCUCCAGCACGCAGGCCAAGUGGGGUGGGGGGGAACGAAGGGAGCCGGGGAAGCGUGUGAGAGAGUGAGACCGACAGAGUGAGCACCUCCCCAAGCCGCUACCACCAGCCCUCCAACAUGGCGCCUGGCACAUCACCCUAAAAAGUCAUUUCUUGGAGAAGCGAUGGAUGACAGAGAUUAAUCUGAGAGUUACUAUUAAUGGAGAAACUUAGAACUUACCAUUUUUCCUGUGAGGUUUCGGUGCUGAUACUUCUAUUCUGUGAGUUCUGGCAAUUGUGUCCGUUCACCCAGCCUGGUGAUGCAGCAGGUGUCACAGAAGGACCCUGUCCCAGCUGGUCCUGCUCCACUGCUAGGAUGGUGUGCCCUCUGAUCUGUGACCGUGUCUUGAGGGGAGACCAGGCCCUUGAUCACAAGCGUAUCCAUGGUGAGGUUCCGUGGAUGGAAGCUCAUGGAUGUUCCUUCCUGAUGUUCAUCUGCCACCUUGCUAUUGAAUGCAUCCUGUUUAUAACUGUCUUCUAAAUAUUGAAUAGAAAUAAAGCGUUUUUACAGUAUGGGUAAGGUAUAAAGAAUAUUGACACAUUGGACACAGAGGACCUCCACCAAGUUUAGGGAGUAGAAUCUGAAGAGACAUAACUUUGGAUGCUCCCUGGAGGCCCUGCCUGAGUCCCAGUCCCUUCCCUUCUCCUACGGAGGGAAUCACUUCUUGCUUUAGUCUUUAUUAUUUGCACACUUUCCUUCAUAGUACAUUUCUUUCACCGUGUGUGUACAUCCCUAAAAAAUAAGCCAUUUAGUUUUUGAACUUUCUGUUUUCUUUCUGAGGCAGGGUCUUGCUCUGUUGCCUCGGCUGUAGUUUUGAACUUUGACGUGAGGGAAUUCUCCUGCAUGGCUGCUCCUACACUGCAUGGCUCUGAGCACCUGCUCUGUGUCUAUUUUUGUCCUCCAUUCUCUCCCUGAGACCCACCCACACUGACAUGGCUCAUUUUCAUUGCUGCAUGGUCUCCCGUCGUCUGAGGGGAGCAUGGGAAAUGUCUUCAUCUUCCCGUGGAUGAGUGUUUGGCCAGGUUGGGGCCCUUAGGACUGUGUUUUGUUGGGAACGUUCUUGGGCAUUUCUUUUGUACACAAGCGCAAGUUUCUUCUGGUCAGUAGCUUUCAAGUUUUAAAAUUUCAUCCCAGGUAAGAAAUGUAAUUUUCCUCAUAACCCACAACACACACUCUUUCAUAUACAAGCAUAGCAGAAAUAUACUUCACAAGCGUUAGCAGUGCCUGGUGUUCCUGCUUCUCACCAUUCUCCCCAACGCUGGCAUGGAUUGGGUUGUGAGAUUUUUGCCCGUCUGGUGAGUGUCACGUGAUAUCUCCCCCGUUAGGCUGAGCCCCUCUUCAUGUUUUCAUUAGCCGUUCCUCCACAUUUCCUCUUCUGUGGAGGGCCGGUUCAGCUCUUUUG
rnacentral:lncRNA from 10 species